rnacentral:lncRNA from 1 species
GUGUUUCCAUGGCUAUACAUGCAGUCACAGUAAAUCCAUGAACCACAGUGCUGUCAGGGCGGCUGAAAUCUAACAUCUGGUGUAACUGUACAAACCUGACCUUAGGUCACGAUAUCAUGGGCACUGAACACAGUUUUGCCUUCCUACAUCCAACAAAGGUAACAAAGCCAAAAAUAUGAUGGAUAAGAGUGCAUGUUUGCUAUUGGAGUACUCAGGGACUACUCACAGCAUUUAAGCAGCUACUUCUCCCACAAAGGGCGACCACAUGUGAAGAGUGAGAUUCCCAGUAAGUAUCUGGUAAACAUUUGGAAACGAGAGACAAAUAGCGCAGUGCAAUUGCACCAUCGUACUUCAAAUACCCACUUGAAAAAAAAAGAAAGAAUCCAUUCUGCAACGCGCCAAGCCUGGCUCCCAAAACCGGGAGGAAUCGCAACGCCGGUAAACUUGCAGAAAUAUUUUUACAAUUUUAUUAGAGGUUUUAAUUCAGUGCUUUAUCUACCUCUGUUAGUCUGCAAAAUAGCUUUAAAUAUUCAAGUGGUAAUUAAUGAAUCUUUUAUGUUGCAAAUCAAACAUUUUCAUCUGUGCUGUGGUACAGUGGCAGCGAGAAGGAGGGAUUUGGAGUGUAAUUGUUUCUCCUGUUCCCCUCGCAGUGCUGAAUGCCUUUUUACCCUUUAUUAUAUCAUCGGCUUUUGCUUCAGUUCAUCAGCGCAUUGCCACAUCUUAUCGGUCGAUAUUUGCUGUCUGGUUUGUUUUUUUUUUCUCAGUUCAAGAUUUCUUACUGUGCCUUUGCCAGAGACAUUCCUAAGGAGAUGGAAACUCUCUGAAUGUGGAAUUUUCGCAUGA